AACAUAUUGACGUUUGCGAAUUUGCGAUAAUCAGCCCGAUAGCAGCCGAUAGCAGUUCCAGCCACAUCACCAAGAUUUCACGUUUCAAUGAACAAUACCUCUGGUUAGUGGAAAUAUUCCUGAUCGUCUAGUUUCUGAUGUCACUCACAUCCAGAGCUUCAUCUGUGUCAUCCUCUCACAUCUUUGACAACAACUCAAACUUUUUUGCCCAUUUUUAGUUCUGUGGCAUUAGAUUUAUACAGAUAUACAAGUAGCGUAACUUUCUGAUUGUAGCAUCAUGAUCUAUAAAUAAGACUCUAUCUUAUUUAUAGAUCAUGGUAGCAUUGGACCAUGUGUAUAAGAUUUAAGGUUAGAAGUCCACUAACAUAAUUAGCUAUGAUAUUAGGCAAUUUUCAAAAAUGAAAGUACAACACAUACAACGUAGCUGACAUCAAAUUUGACUUUCUUAAUUCGUAUAGUGAUGGACUGUUUGCAGAAAAAAAACAGAAUUUGGCUGAUGGGCCAGCCCAGGAUUCAGUCAAGACGACUGCGCCUUUGAGCUGAGUCUCUGCCAGCCCACUGGUGAAUAUUUCGAUGUCGUUGACGAUUGUAGACGCUGGCCAGGAGGACGGUGUUGGUGGAUGAGAUGCGUCGCAACGAUCCCUAAUUCCCCAAAGUCACCCUGUAGACGGACCAGUUUGCAUGUCCAUCCCGCUCGAAGGUCACGGAGAUCAGUACGUAAAAGUGUCAUGGAGUGGUUUAGAGGUUGGGUGAGAAAGACACGUGUUUCAACAUUAUCAAGCAGACCCAUCCCCGGCAAAGUCACCUGCAGAAGGAAAGAAAAAUUUCC